rnacentral:rRNA from 1 species
AGUGAACGCUGGCGGUAGGCCUAACACAUGCAAGUCGAACGGCAGCACAGGAGAGCUUGCUCUCUGGGUGGCGAGUGGCGGACGGGUGAGGAAUACAUCGGAAUCUACUUUUUCGUGGGGGAUAACGUAGGGAAACUUACGCUAAUACCGCAUACGACCUACGGGUGAAAGCAGGGGACCUUCGGGCCUUGCGCGAUUGAAUGAGCCGAUGUCGGAUUAGCUAGUUGGCGGGGUAAAGGCCCACAAAGGCGACGAUCCGUAGCUGCUCAGAGAGGAGGAUCAGCCACACAGGAACUGAGACACGGUGCAGACUCCUACGGGAGGCAGCCGUGGUGAAUAUUGGACAAUGGGCGCAAGCCUGAUCCGGCCAUACCGCGUGGGUGAAGAAGGCCUUCGGGUUGUAAAGCCCUUUUGUUGGGAAAGAAAUCCAGCUGGCUAAUACCCGGUUGGGAUGACGGUACCCAAAGAAUAAGCACCGGCUAACUUCGUGCCAGCAGCCGCCGCCG